UACGGGGGGGGCAAGCGUUGUUCGGAAUUACUGGGCGUAAAGGGCUCGUAGGUGGCCAACUAAGUCAGACGUGAAAUCCCUCGGCUUAACCGGGGAACUGCGUCUGAUACUGGAUGGCUUGAGUUUGGGAGAGGGAUGCGGAAUUCCAGGUGUAGCGGUGAAAUGCGUAGAUAUCUGGAGGAACACCGGUGGCGAGGGCGGCAUCCUGGACCAACACUGACACUGAGGAGCGAAAGCCAGGGGAGCAAACGGG
rnacentral:rRNA from 1 species